UUCUAUUUGUGAUGGACUCUG
rnacentral:piRNA from 1 species